AAUGGGCAACCGGCGAACGGGUGCGUAACACGUGAGCAACCUGCCGAUCUGUGUGGAAUAGCCGGCCCAACGACCGGGUAAUACCGCAUACGCUCAGUCUGUAGCAUUACGGAUUGAGGAAACCUUUUUGGGCGGAUCGAGGGGCUCGCGGCCUAUCAGCUAGUUGGCGAGGUAAUGGCUCACCAAGGCGAUGACGGGUAGCUGGUCUGAGAGGAUGGCCAGCCACAUUGGGACUGAUAUACAGCCCAGACUCCUACGGGAGGCAGCAGUGGGGAAUAUUGCGCAAUGGCCUAACGGCUGACGCAGCGACGCCGCGUGUGGGAUGAAUCCCUUCGGGGUGUUAACCACUGUUGCCCGGGACGAACAGCGAGCUUCUUUUUGCCUGACGAUUCCGGAUGAGGAGGCACCGGCUAAUAUUACCGCCAGCUGCUGGGGUAAAAUUGAGGGGGGCCUCCUCACCCGGUACCGUCGGGCAAGCUGAAGCUCGCUGUUCGUCCCGGGCAACAGUGGUUUACACCCCGAAGGGCUUCAUCCCACACGCGGCGUCCCUGCGUCAGCCGUUAGGCCAUUGCGCAAUAUUCCCCACUGCUGCCUCCCGUAAGAGUCUGGGCCGUAUCUCAAUCCCAAUGUGGCUGGCCAUCCUCUCAGACCAGCUACCCGUCAUCGCCUUGGUGAGCCAUUACCUCACCAACUAGCUGAUAGGCCGCGAGCCCCUCGAUCCGCCCAAAAAGGUUUCCUCAAUCCGUAAUGCUACAGACUGAGCGUAUGCGGUAUUACCCGGUCGUUGGGCCGGCUAUUCCACACAGAUCGGCAGGUUGCUC
rnacentral:rRNA from 1 species